ensembl:misc_RNA
CUCUCAGCUUUGGAAAUAUGGAAUAUCCUAUUUAUCCACAAAAACAAGUAUAGCAGCAGUGCAAGUUUCCACACACUGCCCCUCCAAUCUGUCUUACUCUGUACUGGGAGAGACCACCCUCUUGGAGGGAAAGAACAUUUCCAUCUCCAUUCAGCUACAACACAUGGUCAUU